GAAAUGCGAUAAUUAGUGUGAAUUGCAGAAUUCAGUGAAUCAUCGAAUCUUUGAACGCACAUUGCGGCCAUAGGUAUUCCUUUGGCCAUGCCUGUUCGAGCGUCAUUUACACCCUCAAGCCUAGCUUGGUGUUGGGCGUCUUGUCCCGCCGUCUCUCGCGCGCGGACUCGCCUCAAAGUCAUUGGCGGCGGUCGUGCCGGCCCCUCGCGCAGCACAUUUGCGCUUCUCGGAGGCCUGGCUGAUCCGCGCUCCAGCAAGACCUUUUUCAUGACUUGACCUCGGAUCAGGUAGGGAUACCCGCUGAACUUAA
rnacentral:misc_RNA from 1 species